rnacentral:tRNA from 1 species
GAGGAUAGAGCUCAGUGGUAAAGUGCAUGCUUAGCAUGCAUGAUGUCCUGGGUUCAAUUCCCAGUAUCUACA